AUGAAGACCAUUCUCAGCAAUCAGACUGUUGACAUUCCAGAAAAUGUCAACGUUACUCUGAAGGGACGCACAGUUAUCAUAAAGGGCCCCAGAGGAACCCUGCGGAAGGACUUCAAUCACAUCAACGUAGAACUCAGACUCCUUGGAAAGAAAAAAAAGAGGCUCCGGGUUGACAAAUGGUCGGGUAACAGAAAGGAACUGGCUACCGUUCGGACUAUUUGUAGUCAUGUACAGAACAUGAUCAAGGGUGUUACACUGGGCUUCCAUUACAAGAUGAGGUCUGUGUAUGCUCACUUCCCCCAUCAACGUCGUUAUCCAGAAUGGGUCUCUUGUUGAAAUCCGAAAUUUCUUGGGUGAAAAAUACAUCCGCAGGGUUCAGAUGAGACCAGGUGUUGCCUGUUCAGUACCUCAAGCCCAGAAAGAUGAAUUAAUCCUUGAAGGAAAUGACACUGAGCUUGUUUCAAAUUCAGCAGCUUUGAUUCAGCAACCCACAACAGUUAAAAACAAGGAUAUCAGGAAAUUUUUGGAUGGUAUCUAUGUCUCUGAAAAAGGAACUGUUCAGCAGGUUGAUGAAUCAGAUCUAAGAGUUAUCCAGCUACAGAAAGAAGAUGCCAGAUGAC
rnacentral:lncRNA from 1 species